GACUCUCGGCAACGGAUAUCUCGGCUCACGCAUCGAUGAAGAACGUAGCAAAAUGCGAUACUUGGUGUGAAUUGCAGAAUCCCGUGAACCAUCGAGUUUUUGAAUGCAAGUUGCGCCCAAAGCCUUUCGGCUGAGGGCACGUCUGCCUGGGCGUCACAC
rnacentral:rRNA from 1 species